CGGCGUAGCCUAAUACAUGCAAGUCGAACGGUCUUUCUAUGGAAGCUUGCUUCCACUGAGAAGAUAGUGGCGAACGGGUGAGUAACACGUGGGUAACCUGCCCAUAAGAGGGGGGAUAACGAUCCGGAAACGGGUGCUAAUACCGCAUAGUUUUCUUGAUCGCAUGAUUGAGAAAGGAAAGACGGCCUUUGUGCUGUCGCUUAUGGAUGGACCCGCGGCGUAUUAGUUAGUUGGUGAGGUAACGGCUCACCAAGACGAUGAUACGUAGCCGACCUGAGAGGGUGAUCGGCCACAUUCGGGACUGAGACACGGCCCAAACUCCUACGGGAGGCAGCAGUAGGGAAUCUUCCGCAAUGGACGAAAGUCUGACGGAGCAACGCCGCGUGAGUGAAGAAAGGUUUUCGGAUCGUAAAACUCUGUUGUCAGAGAAGAACAAGUUGGAGAGUAACUGCUCCAGCCUUGACGGUAUCUGACCAGAAAGCCACGGCUAACUACGUGCCAGCCGCUGC
rnacentral:rRNA from 1 species